GCAAGUCGCGCGAGAAAGGUCCCUUCGGGGGCUGAGUAAAGCGGCGCACGGGUGAGUAACACGUGGGUAAUCUAUCCUUCGGACGGGGGACAACCUCGGGAAACCGGGGCUAAUACCGUGUACGACCAUCGACCCCCCGGGAUUGGUGGUGAUAGGGGGCCUCUCCUUGGAAGCUCUCGACGAAGGCGGAGCCCGCGGCCCAUCAGCUUGUUGGUGGGGUAAUGGCCUACCAAGGCAACGACGGGUAGCUGGUCUGAGAGGAUGAUC
rnacentral:rRNA from 1 species